rnacentral:rRNA from 1 species
GUGACCGGGUUACCCAAAGGUUUUAUUAGAACCUGUGGUAGGUGAGUAAUGUUCCCUACUAGAAAGAGGAGGGCAAGGCUGGUGCCAGCCGCCGCGGUAAACCAGCUUUUCAAGUGGUCGGGAUAAUUAUUGGGCUUAAAGUGUCCGUAGCCGGUUUAGUAAGUUCCUGGUAAAAUCGGGUAGCUUAACUAUCUAUAUGCUAGGAAUACUGCUAUACUAGAGGGCGGGAGAGGUCUGAGGUACUACAGGGGUAGGGGUGAAAUCUUAUAAUCCUUGUAGGACCACCAGUGGCGAAGGCGUCAGACUGGAACGCGCCUGACGGUGAGGGACGAAAGCCAGGGGAGCGAACCGGAUUAGAUACCCGGGUAGUCCUGGCCGUAAACGAUGCAUACUAGGUGAUGGCACGGCCAUGAGCCGUGUCAGUGCCGUAGGGAAACCGUUAAGUGUGCCGCCUGGGAAGUACGGUCGCAAGGCUAAAACUUAAAGGAAUUGGCGGGGGGAGCACCACAAGGGGUGAAGCCUGCGGGUUCAAUUGGACUCAACGCCGGAAAACUUACCAGGGGAGGACAGCAGUAUGACGGUCAGGGUUGACGACCUUACCUAACGAGCUGAGAGGAGGUGCAUGGCCGUCGCCAGUUCGUGCCGUGGAGGUUAUCCUGUUAAGUCAGGCAACGAACGAGAUCCGCCCCUUUAUUUGCCACCAAGAAGUCACGACUUCGUUGGGAACACUAAAGGGACCGCCGUCGAUAAGACGGAGGAAGGAGCGGGCAAAGGCAGGUCAGUAUGCCCCGAAACCCCUGGGCUACACGCGGGCUGCAAUGGUAUGAACAAUGGGCUGUGACUCCGAAAGGAGAAACCAAUCCCGAAAUCAUAUCUCAGUUGGAAUUGUCGGCUGUAACCCGCCGACAUGAACGCGGAAUCCCUAGUAAUCGUGUGUCAUCAUCGCACGGUGAAUACGUCUCUGCUCCUUGCACACACCGCCCGUCGCUCCAUCCGAGUGUGCUAAAAAUGAGGUUUGGUCAAUUUGGUCAUAUCGAGUUUCUAGUAUGCGAGGAGGGAGAAGUCGUCCC